CGGAGGCCGCGCUUACAGGUCGGUGCCGAGCUGGGUGAAGCCGGAGUUGAGGCAGCCGCGGGCUAUGCGCCUCCAGAGGAGAUCGCGGCUGCUGAGGAAGCGCAGGCGGCGGCAGACCUGGCCCAGGCGGCCCAAGGCCUGCACGUCCAGGAGCCUGGAGUACUGACAGCACAGAAGGAUCCUGGUCCAAAAUGGCAAAGUAGCCUUCCACAAACAGUGGAGCAGGAAAAUAUGAGUAUAGUGUUGUGCUAUUCUUUCUUGCAGUAUUUUCCACUCUAUGGAAGCCUGAAGUGCUUGGGGAAACUUCUGCCUCAGAAUUAAAAAAUAGAUAAAUUAUGAAAAGUAAAUCAUCUACCUAGAAUGCUUUGUAUCGGUAUCGCUUACCCACCACAGACUACAUCUCCUUUUGCAUAGUGGAGUAGGAAAAUAAAUUUCAGCAUAUAAUGAGGUUACCAUAGCAGACAGGCCUUUUAGACAGUUAUUGCAUCUAGUUCCAGAAGGUCAUCGUGUCUGCGUAAUCUCAAGCACUCAAGUAUUCAGAUGGCUAAAUCAGCAGCUCUGGAGGCCUUGUAUUUGAGAGGUUCAACACUGCCAGCUGAGGGACCUCUGGUCCAUUUAGACUGAGUUUCAAUGCACCCUGGAAUUCAAGGAGAUUCCAGAAGACCAAAAGAAGGCAAAUGUUUUAUCAGCAUUUAUUCCGAGUGAAUCAGCCCAAUUAAUUACAAAAUUCUCAGCCUAAUAUUAAGCUCAGGUAAGAUAACUGCACAUCUGGUACGGGAUUUCAGUAGCCAAUUGAAAGGGAGGUAACGUAACAAACAUUGCUUAACAAAAGAUUAUGGAAAAUUGGUGUGAAUGCAGUUUUAUAACAAACUAAUUCAAUAUCUUUUUGAUGAUGUUAAGCUUAAACAUGUAUUUAUAAUUAGCUCUUUUGUAAUAGACUUUGUCAAUGUCUGAAACAUUAAAUUUAUUAAAAGCUGAA